rnacentral:rRNA from 1 species
UCGANCGGANAANUUACUAGUUUACUAAUGAUUUCUUAGUGGCGGACGGGUUAGUAACACGUGAGCAACUUACCUCAAAGUGGGGGAUAGCCUUCCGAAAGGGAGAUUAAUACCGCAUGUGGUCUUCGGACUAAAGCUAGCUUCGGCUGGUGCUUUGAGAUAGGCUCGCGUCCUAUCAGCUAGUCGGUGAGGUAAUGGCUCACCAAGGCAACGACGGGUAGCUGUUCUGAGAGGAAGAUCAGCAACACUGGAACUGAGACACGGUCCAGACACCUACGGGUGGCAGCAGUCGAGAAUCAUUCACAAUGGACGAAAGUCUGAUGGUGCAACGCCGCGUGGAGGAUGAAGGCCCUAGGGUCGUAAACUCCUGUCAUAUAAGAGUAAGGCAUAUUAGUUAAUAGCUAGUAUGUUUGAUAGUAUUAUAAGAGGAAGGGACGGCUAACUUCGUGCCAGCAGCCGCGGUAAUACGAAGGUCCCGAGCGUUAUUCGGAAUCACUGGGCGUAAAGGGAGCGUAGGCGGCGUGGUAAGUCAGAUGUGAAAUCUGGGGGCUCAACCUCCAAACUGCAUUCGAUACUGCCAUGCUAGAGUAAUGGAGAGGUAACUGGAAUUCUCGGUGUAGCAGUGAAAUGCGUGGAUAUCGAGAGGAAGACCAAUGGCGAAAGCAGGUUACUGGACAUUUACUGACGCUGANGCUCGAAGGCUAGGGUAGCGAAAGGGAUUAGAUACCCCUGUAGUCCUAGCAGUAAACGAUGUGCGCUUGGUGUGGGCAGGUUCGACCCUGUCUGUGCCGGANCUAACGCGUUAAGCGCACCGCCUGGGGAGUACGGUCGCAAGACUAAAACUCAAAGAAAUUGACGGGGNCCCGCACAAGCGGUGGA